GCAGCCUCACGCUCCACUUCCUGUUUUUCUCCCCAACGAAUUUCGCGCCAUUGCUCUUUCACAGGGCAAGGGGGGAGUGAGGGCGGCAGGGAGGCCUGCCUGGGAAGGAGGCCCGGGAUCUGGGAGAGGAGUGUGCUUUGGACUCUGCAGUCUCCAGCUCAGAGUAGCUGAGGAUGCUGGGGAUGCUGGGGCUGGCCCACGGGGAGCAGAGGAGGCCUCAGCGCGGUCCUCACUCUGGAAACGGCAUUUUCCCUAGGCUAGAGACUGGCUGUAGGAACGGACUGAUCCAGGCUGGACCCACAUCUCUCUGGUGAUACCAGAGGCAGAGGGACCAUCUGACAGCACUUCUACAGACUCACUGGUGACACCCUCUGGGAGGCAGACACAGGGCUGGCAGCCCAGGAGCCCGUCCAGAGCCACACAGAGUCCCUGCUCCCAGGAGCAGCCCAGCAAAUAGGCGAUCACGUGGAGUAGACAGAGUGCUCAUACAGCCUGGAGUGUGAUGAAGGGUCUCUCCGGGCAAGGGGGCCAGGUCUCUGAGUGGACGUCCAACUUGUUGAUUCCCAGCGCCGGAAUCUGAGCAACCCACGGUGC